UACGUAGGUGGCAAGCGUUGUCCGGAAUUACUGGGUGUAAAGGGCGUGUAGGCGGGGAUGCAAGUCAGAUGUGAAACCCCAUGGCUCAACUGUGGGCUUGCAUCUGAAACUGUGUUUCUUGAGUGUUGGAGAGGGAAGUGGAAUUCCUAGUGUAGCGGUGAAAUGCGUAGAGAUUAGGAGGAACACCAGUGGCGAAGGCGACUUCCUGGCCAACAACUGACGCUGAGGCGCGAAAGCGUGGGGAGCAAACAGGAUUAGAUACC
rnacentral:rRNA from 1 species